CCCAGCUGUAGGCAGCUGCCUAGGUUGCCUUGUACCUAGGCAAGUGUUACACUGCUGGGAGAUCAGCAGCCAAUAGCUGGUUGGCAUUCUGGUCUCGGUUCAUGCUGACCCUGUACUGUUAACUAUACCAGGAUGUCAGCAUAAUUG
ensembl:snoRNA SNORA74 Small nucleolar RNA SNORA74